UUCCAAAAAAGAGGUAGCGGUGCAAAAGAGUAUUAUGUGGAGAAGGCAUUCUGUGAAGCAUAAGAAAGGUAACCAUCGCCGAAUAAUAAUUAUGGCAAUAAUUUAUUAUGAGAUUAUAGAAAAUAUCUAUAAUAUUCUUGCUGUUCUAACAGUAAAGGAGCUUUAUUAAAU
rfam:Candidatus Phytoplasma australiense complete genome